GAUGAAGAACGUAGCGAAAUGCGAUAAGUAAUGUGAAUUGCAGAAUUCAGUGAAUCAUCGAAUCUUUGAACGCACCUUGCACUCCUUGGUAUUCCGAGGAGUACGCCUGUUCGAGUGUUAUGAAGCUCUCAAAACGCAAUUGGCUUAAAACCUGAUUGUUGUUUUGGAUUUGAACUUUGCCGUGUUAUAACGGCUGGUUUUAAAAGUAUUAGCUGGUACUAGAACGAAUUGGUUCUACUCAACGUGAUAAUUAUCUGAUCGUUGAGGACAUUCCUUUCACGAGGAAUGGCCAUAGUUAAUUCAAUGGACUGCUUCUAAUCUGGCUUUAAUUCUUUAUUGGAUUAACCACUUUUCAAAUCUGACCUCGAAUCAGGUGGGACUACCCGCUGAACUUAAGCAUAUCAAUAAGCGGAGGA
rnacentral:misc_RNA from 1 species